CCUCGCUCCCGGGACUCGCCAGCGAGGGAUGCCGCCGGCCGCCGGGGGCCUUCUCCAGGACCAGGAGAGAAAUCCUCUCUCCGCUUCACGACGCGGCCACUCCCACCCCUGAGACGCCCACCUGGCGGACUCUGAGGGAGGAUUCGGCUGCGUCUAAUACCACCUCCACCCCUCAUCCCUCACAAUGCGCGGAAAACCACAGGCGGCUGUGCGCGCAGCGUCGGCUCAGCCACCGCAGCUCCUCCCCUGGGAUGAAAAAGCACUCUGACGUCUUGAAAGCUGGCAGCUCUCUGUUUGGAAAAUCUCUGCCCAGUGAAAAAAUGUACCGACAAGAUUACUAAGUAACACAGUCUUCUGGGAAUGCCUUAUCAAUGCCAGCUAUUUGAAGAGCACCCAAAGUCAAACUAGUGCUCCGCGCUGGCAGUCUGGAAAAGGCAGAUGUAUAAACCAAAAAGGAUGGAGUUCAGAGACCUUCCAUGUUGAUGAACAAGAACACAUUCACCUGCUGUAGGGGUAGGUGUACCCCAAAACUCCACUGAUACAGAAGCUUCUAUACUCAAGACCCUUCUAUACUCAAGACCCUGGAUCUUACCCUAUAUAUCUCUUCAUCUGGCUAUUUAUUUGCAUCUUUUAAUAUAUCCUUUGUAAUAAACUAGUAAUCUAGAAAGCAAACUUUUCCUAGCUCUGUAGGCCAUUCUAGUAAAUGAUUAAACCUGAGGAGGAGUUAUGGGAACCUUUGAUUUGUAGACAAGUUGGACAAAAGUGGUAUAUAUCCUAAUAUAACAUGGGAACCUGCCACUUAUGAUUGGCGUGUGAAAUUGGGGGAUGGGGAAGCAGUCUUGUGGGACUGAGCCCUUAGCCUGUGGGGUCUAAUGCUAUCUUCAGGUAAUAUCAGAACUGAGUUAAAUUAUAGGAUACCAGUCAGUGUCCAUUGGAGAACUGAAUUAUUGUGAGGAGAAACCCACACAUUUGGUGGCUAAAAGUAUUGAUGUGAGUAGUAGCAUAUAGGA
rnacentral:lncRNA from 1 species